rnacentral:rRNA from 1 species
GUCUACGGCCAUGCCACCCUGAAUAAGCCUGAUGUCUGAUCUCGGAAGCUACGCAGGGUCGAGCCUGGUUACUAUUUGGAUGGGAGACCACCUAGGAAGACCGGGUGCUGUAGGCA